rnacentral:rRNA from 1 species
CCUACGGGUGGCAGCAGUGAGGAAUAUUGGUCAAUGGUCGCGAGACUGAACCAGCCAAGCCGCGUGAGGGAUGACGGUACAGAGUAUCGUAAACCUCUUUUGUCAGGGAACAAAGGCGGGGACGUGUCCCCGGAUGAGUGUACCCGAAGAAAAAGCAUCGGCUAACUUCGUGCGAGCAGCCGCGGGAAUACGGAGGAUGCGAGCGUUUUCCGGAUUUAUGGGGUUUAAGGGGGGGUCAGGCGGUCUGUUAAGUCAGCGGUAAAAGCCUGGGGCUCAACCCCGGCCCGCCGGUGAAACUGGCAGUCUCGAGUGGGAGAGAAGUAGGCGGAAUGCGCGGUGUAGCGGUGAAAUGCAUAGAUAUCACGCAGAACUCCGAUUGCGAAGGCAGCAUGCCGGCUCCACACUGACGCUGAGGCACGAAAGCGUGGGUAUCGAACAGGAUUAGAUACCCUAGUAGUC